ensembl:lncRNA
CUGCGUGGUUUCAGAGCAUUUCCUUCAACUUCCACAGAAAGUGGGUAGCCCCACCUUUUCAUUUAUUUCAGAUCUACCCCAGAGGGUCAGUAAGUCCCCCAUUAAGCCUAAGCCACUGUCAUGGGGUUCACAAUAGGUCCUGUCCUCCAAAGCAGUGGACCCCCAAGAAGCUGCCGUCUUGGGUUGCAGAGUUGUGUCCGACUCUCUGCGACCCCAUGGACUGUAGCCCGCCCAUCUCCCCUGUCCGUGGGGUCUCCCAGGCAGGAACACUGGAGGGGGUUGCCCUUUCCUCCUCCAGGGGAAUCUUCCCGACCCGGGGAUCGAAGCUGGGUCUCCUGUGUUGGCUUCUUUACCGCUGAGCCACCGGGGAAGCCCCCACUGGGCUGCUGUGCUUCCCUGUCAGCCGCGGCGCACGGAUGUGCCCAAAGACGGCCCUGCAUCAGGUGCCUCCCUGUGGUUCUGCUGUCUGCACCCCGGAAACCUCUGUUUUAGGGAUUCCAGGCUGCUUUCCCAUGCAGUCCAGUGACAGGGACCAGUCAGACCAUGAAGGGUCCGGUGGGAGAAGACGGGUGUUUCCCGGGGCAGGAGGGUGUAUCAGACAGCAGCCCCAUAGACCCCAGCUGUGCCAGGUUUGAGCACAGCUGCCUCAGGGCCUGGGGAGGCAGGCUGGGGUCUCCGAGGACUCACUCGGGUCUCUUUCAUCCCCCUGCCCCUGAGCCCCUGCCAGCUGCCGUCCAGGAAGCCAGGCCAGUUCUGGGCCUGGAGUGAGGGGACGGUAGCCUGGCGGGGCUGCCAGAGACGCUCCAUCUCUCGGGGAUGUGGAAGAGUGUGCCGUGGAGAAUGGGCACAGCUGUGGAGGUGGUGGGGGAGACUGAGGCGCCCUUUCCCUGCCUGGCGGGGCGAUGGGGACUCGGGGGAGUGCCUCGGAGGUGAAGGGAAGCCAGUUCCCAGGAGACAGCUUCAGGCCUGUGUGCCCUGACAUCCCAGGUGAGUGAUGCUCCUGCAAGAUGCCCACACGCAGAGGCUGCAGGUCAGGCAUCAGAGAGCCUGCCUCUGGGUAUCACGUCUGAAGCUCGCGUUCAUCUUCCUCUCCAGUUUCACUGUGGCUCCAACAUACCAGGCACCCCAGACACAUUAUCAGUUCUGCGGUUGCUGUUCAACUAUCCGCUCCAGCCAGACAGGGUUUGGGGUAUCUGUUUGUUUAUCUAAUACAUUCACUGCCAUCACUUCCACCGCUCAUGCGCCUAGAAGGUGCUCAGCAAAGACGAUGGAAUGAACUCGUGCCGUCCGCUUCGAGUAAGCCUGUGGGAAGCCGUGUCUGUCCCCGGGGAGACAGGAGACACAGGCAUCGGUGACGGCCAUCUGGGACGUGGCAGAGCCUCUGACCGAAGCCAGCCCAGGGUUCAGAAGAGCCCAGAGGUCACUUGGUCUGCUGGCUGGCAGGGGCCAGGGCAGUGGAGUCGGGGG